UAGUAAACCUUCACCACUAAUUCAUCACUACAUAUGGGGCAAAGAAAGGAGGAAAGUGGAACAAUUUUAAAUUUACUGUGAUCUUUGAGACAGCUUUAGCUACACCUGGGAAUUGCUGUUAGACAAUUAAGGUUAGUAAAGCUCACUGAAUCUCUCAGAGGAAAGGUGUUAUUUGAAUUAUUACCAGAUAAUUAUUGUUAAAAAUAACAAUAAUAUAAAAAAUAGGAACGUUACAUGUUAGAGACAUUAUCAUUUUAAUUUCCAAUGCGGGGGUAGUAGAGCCCUGGGGGAUCUAGGAACAAUUUUUUUUUUCCCAUGAUGUGCUCUAUGCCAGAAACUUCUUGAAUUCUGUCUGAUGCCUGAUGACCUGACAAACUGGCCCAGAAUCAGAAGCCGGUCGUGCCGUGUGAGCUGUUAGCCAAGUUAUUCAGCUUGAACUGCUCCUUCAAAAACAGUAGGAAGGAUGAUCUGGUGUGAUUUCCGAAGAAUGGGAAGAGCCACACUGAAGUGAGACCUCCACAGAAAAUUCCUUGUAGUGAUGUGUGACAGUGUGUUACAUAACAGUUCUGCUCUCUGAGGGCUUCCAAGACAGAGC
rnacentral:lncRNA from 1 species